rnacentral:precursor_RNA from 1 species
GUUGGUAAAUAUGUUAUGGGCUAUGUUAACCAUAUUAGUACCGAGCAUGUUUACCAACAA